rnacentral:lncRNA from 1 species
GCUGAAGCUGCCUAAAGUCAGGGUGAAAGCACUGCGAUUCGGGAGGCCGGAGAGGGUUCAGGCCAGCCGCUCCCGCCUCCGGCCGCAGUCGGAGAAGCUGGUUCCUCCUGUCCUUGCCCAGCGCCCGCUCUCGGCCGAUGCAGAAGGAGACGUUCCCCAGGCCCGGACACCCCACUUCCAGGUCAGCGGGGCAGGCAGAGGGUGUGACCGGAAGGGCUUUCCCCGAGACACGGAGGCCAGGCUGCAGCCUGGGUGGCAGAAGCUGGCUUUGUUGUUGGAGGAGGGGAACAGAGAAGAAAUGGUAGUGCUCGUGGCUAAAGCCAACGGCCACAUCCGUGAGAACCACCGGGUGAGCACAAAAGCCCUGGAGCCCUGACUGAACAUCACCAGGGGCGGGGGCUGCACCGAAGCCACAUUUGUGAACAGGCC